rnacentral:rRNA from 1 species
GACGAACGCUGGCGGCGUGCCUAAUACAUGCAAGUCGAGCGCAGGAAGCUGACGGAACUCUUCGGAGGGAAGACAGUGGAAUGAGCGGCGGACGGGUGAGUAACACGUAAGGAACCUGCCUCAAGGAUUGGGAUAACUCCGAGAAAUCGGAGCUAAUACCGGAUAGUUCAACGGACCGCAUGGUCCGCUGAUGAAAGGCGCUCCGGCGUCACCUUGAGAUGGCCUUGCGGUGCAUUAGCUAGUUGGUGGGGUAACGGCCCACCAAGGCGACGAGGCAUAGCCGACCUGAGAGGGUGAUCGGCCACACUGGGACUGAGACACGGCCCAGACUCCUACGGGAGGCAGCAGUAGGGAAUCUUCCACAAUGAACGAAAGUCUGAUGGAGCAACGCCGCGUGAGUGAUGAAGGUUUUCGGAUCGUAAAACUCUGUUGUAAGGGAAGAACACGUACGAGAGGAAAUGCUCGUACCUUGACGGUACCUUACGAGAAAGCCACGGCUAACUACGUGCCAGCCGCCGCCGUAA